UGUGGGUCUCAUUUCUUGUUUGAAGUGGAUUAGGGCUCAAGAUUCAGGACAUGCAACAUGAAGGUCUCCACAGGCAUGAAGUCUAGGAUUGCUUUGCUGUUGCUGAUUGUUCUUGCCCAUGAUGCAGGAUUGGUUGAUGGCCUAUUACCUACCUCUUCUGAUCCUUCAAGAGGACAAUCAUUGUUGGACAUUAUGAGUGUGUGGAACUCUCAAGAAGGCCAGCAUGGACAAGAACCAAGCAACACCGAACCAAUUCAAAGAAACUACCAGGCUUCCCACGGAACUUCAGCAAGCUCUCCUGCUCAGCACGGCUCUUGGAAACCAGCAGCUACAGCCAAACCAGUUCAAACAAGCUACCAGUCUUUCCAGGGAUCUUCAGUGAGCUCUAAUGCCCAACAAGGAUCUUGGAAACCAGCAGCUGUUGCCAGACCUGCUCAAGAAAGCUACCAGUCUUCCCAGGAAUCUUCAGCAAGCUCUGCUGCCCAAUAUAGGCCUGUUGCCAGACCUGCUAAAGGAAGCCACCAGUCUUCCCAGGGAUCUUCAGCAAGCUCUGCUGCCCAACAUGGAUCUUGGAAACCAGCAGCUAUUGGCAGACCUGCUCAGGCAAGCUACCAGUCUUCCCAGGAAUCUUCAGCAAGCUCUGCUGCCCAAUAUAGGCCUGUUGUCAGACCACCCCAGGGAUCUU